rnacentral:lncRNA from 1 species
UGACCAAACAAUAUGCGCUAAAUAUGAUCAUCAUCUACAACUUUGUAACAUUUCAUUUGAAUUCUAUCUAGCUAUUUCCACUGGGGUAAAGCUGAUGACUGUAACUGCAUUCACGGUCAUCCCAAGAUGUCGGACGAAAAAUUAGGUCAGUUUCUGUAUUGUCUGUUUAAGUGUUUCUAUAUCAUUUUCUUUACAAUUCAUACAUUGAAACGAUGUAAAUUUAUAAAAGAAUCACUCGGAAAUCACUGAUUACUUCCGGGAAAUGUGCAUGAAACGGGAAAUUCGAUUUGAAAAAAUCGCUCAGAUGACCGUAAAUCACAAUCGAGAUGACCGUAACAGAAUCAGCGAUUCAUAACAAGGGUGACCGUAAUUGCUUUUAAGAUGACCUUAAUUUGUAAAUGAUGAUCGUAAUUUUUAAAGGAUGACCCUCAGUUCUAAGAAAUAUCCGUAUUUAUAUAAUUACCUUUUUGUAUCAAAUGGUUAAUCGUGUUGGUAUAAACAUAUUAAUAUUAGAGUAUUAUCCUAUAGGUAGAAGAAAAUAAGUCGUGCUUCAAAUGCAAAGAUUACCAUAUGUAUCCUUUUUACAGUAGAGGGUUUAAUUUUUAAAAUGACUUUGCAAAAUGACAUGCUACAAAAGCGCGAUAAAAUGACACCUCACAAGUAUAUUGAAAAAAAUGCGGUGCACAACCUCCAACUGCUCGACAAAAGAUUUUUUUUAUUUCUGGGAUUCAUUUUAAUGACAUAUAAUAAAUACACAUUUUUAAAAAUGUCAAUGCAUGUAAACCCAUUGAUAUUAUAUCGUCUUUCAUUUUGUCGUGCAAAUAAAAUAACAGAAAUAUUUUGAAAAUAUUAUACGACUAAACUAUUGAAGGUGAGCUCCAUCAAAGAAGAUCCUUAAAAUAGUCUUGUACGAAUAGCGUAUCACAACGCGGAACGUUGUCAAUACGUUGUUCAAAACAGAAACUGACCUAAUUUUUCGUCCGACAUCUUGGGAUGACCGUGAAUGCAGUUACGGUCAUCAGCUUUACCCAAGUGUAUUUCUGAGUUUUUGCGCUUACAACAUCUACAAAUAAAAAGGAACAGACAGCAUGCAGACGGGCAGACAAUUAGAUGGAUAAACGCAGUUUUAUUUCUAUUACCAUAAACAUAAAACGAAAUAUGGCUUUAGUUUUUUUUCAAAUUCGUAUGCGCUAAUAUAAAUAUGUUGUAAAGUGUUCAACUUCAAAGCCAGACGAAACAUUAAUAACAAUUUUCAUAAUUCGAAUGAAAAUGAGUUUGGUGUCGUUAUAUCUAUUGUACAUUGUACUCACCAAAAAUAUAAAAUUUUGAAGAUUUGAUUUUCAUUCGCAGCAGAUUUU